CAAUAGCGUAUAUUAAAGUUGUUGCAGUUAAAAAGCUCGUAGUUGGAUUUCUGGUGGGAGCGAUCGGUCUGGCGCUUAGCGCGAGUACUUGCAUCGUCUCCGGCCAUCCUUGGGGAGAGUCUGUCUGGCAUUAGGUUGUCGGGCAGAGGAUCCUCAUCGUUUACUGUGAAAAAAUUAGAGUGUUCAAAGCAGGCUUAUGCCGUUGAAUAUAUUAGCAUGGAAUAAUAAGAUAGGACUUUGGUACUAUUUUGUUGGUUUGCGCACCAAAGUAAUGAUUGAUAGGGACAGUUGGGGGUAUUCGUAUUCCGUUGUCAGAGGUGAAAUUCUUGGAUUUACGGAAGACGAACUACUGCGAAAGCAUUUACCAAGGAUGUUUUCAUUAA
rnacentral:rRNA from 1 species